rnacentral:tRNA from 1 species
GCCUGAGUGGCGGAAUUGGCUUUACGCGCACGACUCAAAAUCGUGUGGUCUCACGACCAUGUGGGUUCGACUCCCACCUCAGGCA